AAAUUGAAGAGUUUGAUCAUGGCUCAGAUUGAACGCUGGCGGCAGGCCUAACACAUGCAAGUCGAGCGGUAGCACAGAGAGCUUGCUCUCGGGUGACGAGCGGCGGACGGGUGAGUAAUGUCUGGGAAACUGCCUGAUGGAGGGGGAUAACUACUGGAAACGGUAGCUAAUACCGCAUAACGUCGCAAGACCAAAGUGGGGGACCUUCGGGCCUCAUGCCAUCAGAUGUGCCCAGAUGGGAUUAGCUAGUAGGUGGGGUAACGGCUCACCUAGGCGACGAUCCCUAGCUGGUCUGAGAGGAUGACCAGCCACACUGGAACUGAGACACGGUCCAGACUCCUACGGGAGGCAGCAGUGGGGAAUAUUGCACAAUGGGCGCAAGCCUGAUGCAGCCAUGCCGCGUGUGUGAAGAAGGCCUUCGGGUUGUAAAGCACUUUCAGCGGGGAGGAAGGCGUUAAGGUUAAUAACCUCAUCGAUUGACGUUACCCGCAGAAGAAGCACCGGCUAACUCCGUGCCAGCAGCCGCGGUAAUACGGAGGGUGCAAGCGUUAAUCGGAAUUACUGGGCGUAAAGCGCACGCAGGCGGUCUGUCAAGUCGGAUGUGAAAUCCCCGGGCUCAACCUGGGAACUGCAUUCGAAACUGGCAGGCUAGAGUCUUGUAGAGGGGGUAGAAUUCCAGGUGUAGCGGUGAAAUGCGUAGAGAUCUGGAGGAAUACCGGUGGCGAAGGCGGCCCCCUGGACAAAGACUGACGCUCAGGUGCGAAAGCGUGGGGAGCAAACAGGAUUAGAUACCCUGGUAGUCCACGCCGUAAACGAUGUCGAUUUGGAGGUUGUGCCCUUGAGGCGUGGCUUCCGGAGCUAACGCGUUAAAUCGACCGCCUGGGGAGUACGGCCGCAAGGUUAAAACUCAAAUGAAUUGACGGGGGCCCGCACAAGCGGUGGAGCAUGUGGUUUAAUUCGAUGCAACGCGAAGAACCUUACCUGGUCUUGACAUCCACAGAACUUAGCAGAGAUGCUUUGGUGCCUUCGGGAACUGUGAGACAGGUGCUGCAUGGCUGUCGUCAGCUCGUGUUGUGAAAUGUUGGGUUAAGUCCCGCAACGAGCGCAACCCUUAUCCUUUGUUGCCAGCGGUCCGGCCGGGAACUCAAAGGAGACUGCCAGUGAUAAACUGGAGGAAGGUGGGGAUGACGUCAAGUCAUCAUGGCCCUUACGACCAGGGCUACACACGUGCUACAAUGGCAUAUACAAAGAGAAGCGACCUCGCGAGAGCAAGCGGACCUCAUAAAGUAUGUCGUAGUCCGGAUUGGAGUCUGCAACUCGACUCCAUGAAGUCGGAAUCGCUAGUAAUCGUAGAUCAGAAUGCUACGGUGAAUACGUUCCCGGGCCUUGUACACACCGCCCGUCACACCAUGGGAGUGGGUUGCAAAAGAAGUAGGUAGCUUAACCUUCGGGAGGGCGCUUACCACUUUGUGAUUCAUGACUGGGGUGAAGUCGUAACAAGGUAACCGUAGGGGAACCUGCGGUUGGAUCACCUCCUUACCUUAAAGAA
rnacentral:rRNA from 1 species